rnacentral:rRNA from 1 species
AAGUCGUAACAAGGUCUCCGUAGGGUAAGUUUAACUACAUCCCGAGCCCUAUUUGAAUCAGAAUGCUAACUAAUUCUCUAGUGAACCUGCGGAGGGAUCAUUACUGAGUGAGGGCCUUCGGCCCGACCUCCAACCCUUUGCGAUUAAAACCUCUGUUGCCUCGGGAGUAACCCGGGCCUCUGCGUUUGGGGCCCCCGACGGACCAUUUCAAAACACUGCAUCUCUGCGUCGGAUUUAAUAAAGUAAAUCAAUUAAAACUUUCAACAACGGAUCUCUUGGUUCUGGCAUCGAUGAAGAACGCAGCGAAAUGCGAUAAAGUAAUGUGAAUUGCAGAAUUCAGUGAAUCAUCGAGUUUUGAACGCACACUGCGCCCCUUGGUAUUCCGGGGGGCAUGCCCGUUCGAGCGUCAUUUCACCAAUCAAGCCUGGCUUGGUAUUGGGCCCCGGGGGCGACCCGGGCCUUAAAGUCGUCGGCUGGAAAGCUCUGAUCUCAGCGUCGUGGUUAAAUCAAAUUCGCUAGGAAGACGAGUGAUCCGUGCCGGUAACCAUUCUAUCUAAAGGUUGACCUCGGAUCGGGUAGGAAUACCCGCUGAACUUAA